GAUCCUGGCUCAGGACGAACGCUGGCGGCGUGCUUAACACAUGCAAGUCGAACGAGAGGAGAAGGAAGCUUGCUUCUUUCAAAUCUAGUGGCAAACGGGUGAGUAACACGUAAACAACCUGCCUUCAGGAUGGGGACAACAGACGGAAACGACUGCUAAUACCGAAUACGUUCCUUAGGUCGCAUGACCCAAGGAAGAAAGGGUGGCCUCUACUUGUAAGCUAUCGCCUGAAGAGGGGUUUGCGUCUGAUUAGG
rnacentral:rRNA from 1 species